rnacentral:rRNA from 1 species
AUUGAACGCUGGCGGCAGGCCUAACACAUGCAAGUCGAGCGGAUGAAGGGAGCUUGCUCCUGGAUUCAGCGGCGGACGGGUGAGUAAUGCCUAGGAAUCUGCCUGGUAGUGGGGGAUAACGUCCGGAAACGGGCGCUAAUACCGCAUACGUCCUGAGGGAGAAAGUGGGGGAUCUUCGGACCUCACGCUAUUAGAUGAGCCUAGGUCGGAUUAGCUAGUUGGUGGGGUAAAGGCCUACCAAGGCGGCGAUCCGUAACUGGUCUGAGAGGAUGAUCAGUCACACUGGAACUGAGACACGGUCCAGACUCCUACGGGAGGCAGCAGUGGGGAAUAUUGGACAAUGGGCGAAAGCCUGAUCCAGCCAUGCCGCGUGUGUGAAGAAGGUCUUCGGAUUGUAAAGCACUUUAAGUUGGGAGGAAGGGCAGUAAGUUAAUACCUUGCUGUUUUGACGUUACCAACAGAAUAAGCACCGGCUAACUUCGUG